rnacentral:sRNA from 1 species
AGGAAGGAAAGAAGGAAGAAACAAAGAAACAAAGAAACAAAGAAAGAAACAAAGAAAGAGGGAGGGAAGGAGGGAAUCCAGCCUCAAAGGAGAAAUAACCUCUAAUGUUCCAUAGUUGGGAAGCUAUGACUGACAGUCGUUAAGCAUCUAAAUAGCUAGCAGAGGGUGAGCUAAGCAGUUAAACUUGCUCAGCAGCCAAGGAUGCUUACUCAUUCUUCUUGCAGAGGACCUGAAUUCAAUUCCCAGUUCUCACACUGAGAGGGAUCACGCACACAUAUAUGCAACUCCAGUUCUAGUGGAUCUAAUAUGUUCUUCCAGCCUCUGGGAGCACACACACACGCAUGUGUACCUGCACACAAACACAUGGAGAGACAUAUAAUUUGAAAUAAAUCUUUAAAAAGGUGCUUGCUGUCUGGCUUAGGGGUACAUGUGUUCAAGAGGCAGAGGCAGGCGGCUCUCCAAAAGUUUGAGGCCAACCUGAUUUACAUAACGAGUUCCAGGCAAGCAGGGCUUACACAUUUGAGACCCCGUCUCAAGAUAAAUAAAUACAGAAAAGUAAAAGCAAGCAAAGAGGGGUUUGGACGACUCUGGUACUAUGAGAUUCUGUUUUCAAGCAAUGAAUGUGUGAGAUUCCCUGACCUGGUCACUACACAUCGUAAAAUGUAUGGAAAUGUCAUACUCUUAAGUAUGCAUCCUUAUUAAAUGUCAAGGAAAGCUUCUAAAGUCUAUCCCAUCGGCAACUGGAUUCUUUGGAUCCUUUAGGUAUGCUAGGGGAGUCACUGUCUUUCCAACAUCAGGAGAGUGGCUGGCAGAGCGGAAAGCUGAAAGGACACGCAGCCUUUAUGGCACAGUUGAACCUCUGAGUUAGCCAACCCUGAAAUCACUGUACCUUUGGACUUGGCCGUGUGAGUCACUUUCCUUCUUGCCUAAGCUAUUUUUAACUGCUUUCUUUUGUCUGCAUCCAAGAUAACAAGGGGUGGGGUCAUUGAGUACAAAUAGAGAGAGGCGCUCUGAAAGGACAGACAGUAUCAUCAGCAAGAAUGGCUUCCUAUAAUAGGGGUUACUCAGAUAGGACUUUGAUGAGGACAAGAAGCUGGACGUCGAGAAGGAAGGGAGGACACAUCAGGAAGUGAGAAGAGGAGCACGUUUGCUAGGUGUGGUGUGUACAUGUAACCCCAGCACACAGCAAACUGGGGCAGCUCCAUAGGUAGGGAUAAGGAAGAAGAGGAAUCUCCUGCAUUUGUAGUGAGACAUGAGCCUUGGAGGUGGACUUGGGCUCAGUCACCCAUGGUGGGGUCAACACUGCUGCUGACCAGAAGGCAGCUGGAUUGUCAAACUGGACCGUGGAGUGAUAAAUCACAGUGGCAUUGGCUUGUUUCCCUGUUUGUCUUCUUGUAUCUUUGCCAUUUUGAAGUCCUCUUCUGUGAUGUGCAGUUAAAGCCUGUGGACUUCUUUUCAACAUUGAGAUACCUGUAAUCCUCUUACCAACCUGUGGAGAGUAUUUACAGGCAAGUCCGUGGUCACAGAGCCAACAGCUUCUCUCCACCCAUUAUGUUUACAUCUACUUGGCAACCUCCUGUAGUUAAUUAACAUCUUGCUCUUAAAGAACUCUGGCUCAACUGAAUGACUUUUCAAUAGUUUAAGUGUAAUUAAUUUACCACUUUCCUUUAAGAUAAAUAGCAUGUUUUCUGAUUUAUUAGAGAAACUGAUGCUUAUACUGAGGCCAUAAAGGUACUCACUAAAUGUUCUAGAAUUUUCUUUCUUUCCUUCCCAUGUAUACCUGCUCUCAACCCCUGGACUGUCUUUCCAGCUCCUGAAGAAGUUAUUAUAUUUUAACACUUAUUUACUUUUAUAUGUCUGACGGCUUGGCUUGCCUUUGUAUAGACACAGCACGUGUUGUGCAUGCUUGAAGUCUGAAGAGGUCAGAAGAGGCAUGAGAUCCCCGGGACUGAUUACAGAUGGCUAUGAGAUGCCAUGCGGGUGCUGGGAACUGAACACAGGUCCUGUGCAAGAGCUCGUCUCGUGCUCUUAAGCCCCGAUCGAUCGGUCUCUUCAGCACCUAGAGGUAUUCUUUAAUGCUGUGCCUUGGAAGCUUUAUAUUUACUCCCCACAGUUAUGCCUCUAACCUACCUGGAACUGAUUUUGUGCAUCGAAUGAGGUCAGGCCAUAGAUCAUUUUUCUCAGAUUUGGGUCCAUUGACUCCACGGUAUUUAUCGAAAAGGCCAUCAUUUGUAUUGUAUGGUGCCAGUGUCCCUGUUGAAAACCAAAUGUCUAUGCACGGAAUGUUGGGUUCUUUGUUUUACUCUGCUGAGCUAUUCGUCUAUGCUUGAGACAAUCCCAGGUUAAACCUUCAUAGUUGACAGGAUUAAGAAACAGGUUUUAAGAGCUAGGUGUGGUGGUGCAUACCUGUAAUCCCAGCACGCAGGAGACAGACGGUUGACGGUUGUUCUUUUAUUGUCUUAUUCUUAUGGCUCUGGAGAUCAAAUGCAGGGCCUUGUGUGUGCUGGGGAAGUGCUUACAACUGAGAUACUGCCGUGCAGCAUUAUGGGUUUUCUUGAGAGGGGCUAUCUGAACAUGGCUACUCAUGUAUCAGAGAUAAAAGUACUUUGCAAGCUUCCUGUCAUGCAAAGUUUAAAUAUAUAUUUAUCUAAUUUUAUCUAAUACUUUAUAUCUAAUAUAUACAUACACAGAUAUGUUAGACGGUGUCUUUCUAUGCAUUCCACACCAGCCUCUGACUUUCAGCAGUCUCUUGCCUCUGCUUCUGAAGUGUUGGUUUAUGUGACAUUAAAACCUCUGAACUUACUAGUAGCCAGCUAUGGAGACAUACACUGUAAGCCCAGCAGUUAGGAAACAGAAGAUGAAGGAUCACUGAGAGCUCGUAGCCAGCCAGGAAUACAGAACGAGACAUUGUCUCUGUUGCUGUGAGGUGUG